rnacentral:rRNA from 1 species
AACGAACGCUGGCGGCGUGCUUAACACAUGCAAGUCGAACGAACCUUCGGGUUAGUGGCGGACGGGUGAGUAACGCGUGAGAAUCUGCCCUCAGGGGGGGGACAACAGCUGGAAACGGCUGCUAAUACCCCAUAUGCCGCGAGGUGAAAUGAAUUUCGCCUGAGGAUGAGCUCGCGUCUGAUUAGCUAGUUGGUGUAGGUAAUGGCUCACCAAGGCAUCGAUCAGUAGCUGGUCUGAGAGGAUGAUCAGCCACACUGGGACUGAGACACGGCCCAGACUCCUACGGGAGGCAGCAGUGGGGAAUUUUCCGCAAUGGGCGAAAGCCUGACGGAGCAACGCCGCGUGAGGGAUGAAGGCCUCUGGGCUGUAAACCUCUUUUAUCAAGGAAGAAGAUCUGACGGUACUUGAUGAAUAAGCCACGGCUAAUUCCGUG